GCAGCGUGUUCAUCUAUGACUCAGUUGGCUAGAGUGAGGUGCUGAUAAUGCCAAGGUUGCAGGAUCGAUCCCCGUAUGGGCCAGCUGCA